rnacentral:rRNA from 1 species
GAGUUUGAUCAUGGCUCAGAUUGAACGCUGGCGGCAGGCCUAACACAUGCAAGUCGAGCGGAUGACGGGAGCUUGCUCCUUGAUUCAGCGGCGGACGGGUGAGUAAUGCCUAGGAAUCUGCCUGGUAGUGGGGGACAACGUUUCGAAAGGAACGCUAAUACCGCAUACGCCCUACGGGAGAAAGCAGGGGACCUUCGGGCCUUGCGCUAUCAGAUGAGCCUAGGUCGGAUUAGCUAGUUGGUGGGGUAAUGGCUCACCAAGGCGACGAUCCGUAACUGGUCUGAGAGGAUGAUCAGUCACACUGGAACUGAGACACGGUCCAGACUCCUACGGGAGGCAGCAGUGGGGAAUAUUGGACAAUGGGCGAAAGCCUGAUCCAGCCAUGCCGCGUGUGUGAAGAAGGUCUUCGGAUUGUAAAGCACUUUAAGUUGGGAGGAAGGGCAGUAAGUUAAUACCUUGCUGUUUUGACGUUACGACAGAAUAAGCACCGGCUAACUCUGUGCCAGCCGCCG